GGCUCAGCCGGUGCUAAUCUCCUUCUCCGAUCACGAGUCACCCAGCGUGUGACCCUUGUGGCCUGCCUGCCCCACUUCUGUUGGGAGCCUGUCCCUCCCACCGGGACCUGGCAUCUCGGAAGCCUCCCCUGUCCUUGGGAGGCAGCAGAGUGUAUGUAGCCAUGAGAUGGUAGGUUUGUUCAUUGGGAGACCUUGGUUCUGGCCCCUCCUUUGCCACUAACUUCCUGUGUGACCUUGGGCAAUCGCGUCCCCUCCCAAGUCCCCGGAUUCUACAGGUUUGAUGAGGUCUCUCCGAGCUCUAACAGCCCCCAGGAGCGUGGGAGGACACCACAGGAUGUGUGGUGUGUGACUCUUCAUGGAGGAUCCUGCCCACAGGCGGGCGUGGCCUUCAUCCCAUUCUCUUCAAUAAUACGGUCUGUCCUGUUUUGACAACUGCUGGCCUUUCCCCCUCACACCUCUUGAGCUUGAAUUUCUGGCUCCUGGGUUUGAGUGGGAGGAAGGAGGAAGUGACAUAUCCAGUGAUUUUCUAAGCACUUCUCUGUGGGUGAGACCAAGGGAAAGAAAAGGAAGGUUUGGAAGCCUGUCCCACCCACAGUCACUGCCUGGGACAGAGUCACUGCGGGACAUGGCCUUCCCUCGGGGGGCUGACGGCAGGAUAUGCCCAGCCCCCUGCAGGCCCCACAGAAGAGCUUGUAGACUGCUCGCGCAAGACUGCAUCCACCCAACAGCUCCUUUCCGGUUUCCCACCACACCUCCUGCCAAAAGAAGCCCCAGGAUCCCUGUCUCUGCCAACCCUAAAAUGUCUCCUUUAGUUCCAGGUUCUAAACUGGGAUUUCUUUCCCCUCCUUGUGAAAUGGAGGUGAGAUGGAGGUUGAUAAAGCUGAGCUAGCCAGUGGCUUGGGAUGCUUUCCUCACUUCAUCCACUCAUUCAUUCAUUCAUUCAAUAUUUAGGGAUUCAAAGAGGAAAUUAGUCAGGCCCUGGCAAACUUCAGUUUGGCAACUGGUAAUUUGAGGAGAGCUAAUUAAAGAGACUUCAAAAGUGGACAGAGUGUAGGAAAACAAAGGAUGGUGUAGUACCCUGGAGCUAGUACCAUCAGGAAGAUAUUAUCAACCCUAGGCUGAAGGCAUAAAAGGAGAGAAAAUUCCCAGAAGGAGGGAGCCACGUGGAGAGGGCCCCCUGGCAGGAGCUGUCUGUGACCUUUGGUUGAAGGACUCAUCUAGCUGGUGCAAUGAAAACCUUGACCUCCCUCACUUCCUUCUGUUGGCUGAUCCCCGUUGAUGGAGUUGGGAUGAGUCAGCCUCUUGGGGCUCCCAGCAGGGCAGAGAAGAGCAGAGUGGGGAUUUGGAAGCACAAAGACUCCCUGCACAGAAAUCAGACACAGCCUCUGUCCUCAAGGAGCUUGCGUAUGAGAAGGGGAAACAGAAGUGCCAAAGUAAUUUACAGUGUGAUAAAUGCUUUAGUAAAGACAUGAACAAAGGACAAGAGGAUCCCAGUGUUAGGAAAUGAAAUCUGCCAGGAAGGGUGUUAAUGUGUGUGAAGGUUGGAGGAGGCUGGUUCCUGGAAAGGGGAUGCAGAGGAGUUGCUUCUCAAGUGAUGAGCAAGCUUCUUGGAGGAAGUAAGGUCUGAACGGAGACCUGAAAUAUGAAUAAGAAUUAGCCAGAGAAGGAGAGAAAGAAAAGGAGUCCAGGCAGCGUGAAAAAUAUGCAUAAAAGCUGGAGGCAGAAGGAGAGUGAAGUGCUCUUUGGGAAACUCCCAGAAGCCGCUGGCCUCUGCGUGGAACUGCGGCAACAAAACCGUGCUGAUCUUUGCUCGUGACUAGAAGACACUCAGUUCUAAAAACCAUAAAAAUUACUCCAGUCGGUUGCUGUGGAGUAUCUGACAUGCUUGGAGAAGGCACAUGGUGCAGUAUGAGGGUUCCUUGGCUCUCCUAACCCCAAGUACUUGUCCUAUUUGAUGAGAGAGUAGUCCGGGGGCCUGCUAGGAGCUCCCUUUCUUCUAGCGCAGUGCGGAAACGUGGAAGAUAAACAAACAGG